UUUUUUUUUUCUUGUUUUGUAAAUCAAAGCAGACCAACUCUUGAGUCAAGGGGAAGUCUUGCAGGUUACAAGUAGUAUAGUCGAUGGGUAUCCCUUGGGGCUCUCACAGGUUGGUUCAUUGCGUGCAUCCUCACGGGCCACCGGAUCACCGGCAGUGAACCUCCCUCAUCACUAGCUGCGCGGGUUUGGCGGUGCACAGACGGCACAUGUGGCCACAGUUGCCCAAGAUCACUCUGCUAUGCAGAAGACACAGGCACGGAGGCAGGGUCUUGAUCGGUGAAAGUGCAUGCCGCUGCAGCACCCAGCACUACAUGGCACGGACCACCCGCCCAAGUGGUGAACCAUCGAAUAGAAGUUCGCUGAAACAGCGCCCAGGCGAUGCAAAGUCCAGCCACCAUUACAGCAGCUCAUUCAUCCAAAUAAUGACUGAUAUAAGCUAUUCUUACAUAGCGUAUUGGAAAAAGAGUACACAGCCCAUCAUGGAUAGAAAACUAAAAGUCAACCUUAUAUGAUGUACCGGCAAAAUAAAGUACUUAGUGCAGCUUCGAUGGAGAUUUGGAUAGCCAGCACAGUCUGCCGUCGACCUCAAUUUAAUCAGAUGCCUAAAAGUAAGUACCAGAGAGUUACAUCAGUAGUUAUCAAAAAGAAUGGUCACCAAGACAAAAAAAAAAUCUCCGAAGAGAAUGGUCUACCAACACGAUGAAACAAAUCAAUUUAAUUAUCAAUAUGUUACUACAUAAAAUUAUCUCGUAAAGGACACUAUAACUGCAUCAACACACAAGGAAAAAUUAUGUCCUAAAAGCAUAAUGUACUGACAUUAUCAAUGCUCAAAAAUAUUAUAACAAACCUGAGCAAUCCAAUCAUCAAACAAAAGCCAAUAGCAAAUGCUCGCUGGUUACAACAAAAUGGGAAAUCAGACGGGUCGACCCAUAUCACCAGAGAGGCUAACUAAAUCAUGGUGCCAGAGGAGUCAAGGCAACUCAUGAGAACGGUGACUCGCUGCAUGCUAGGGGGUGGCAAGGAUGCCUUGUUCUAGGAGGAUAGAUGGAUGCAGGGCUGUAGGGUUCAGGAGGUGGCUCCCAACCUAUACGCGCGGGUCAGCCCUGGGAUGCGCUCGAGCUACACGAUGAGCCAAACACUGACUGAUGACGGAUGGGCCGCCCAUGUGGGGCCGGAGAAGAUCGUGGCAAGGCUUACCGGGCAAAAAUGACAAAUCUGACCUAUGAACGAAACUAUUUCACAAACUAAACUAUGUUUGAAAAAAAAUUCACCCGACUGACUCUUUUAUGUAGCACCCGACAUCUAGGCGUCACACUACACUGUGCGGCGCCUAGCUCUUAGGCGCUACUCGACUAGCCAGUGUCGCAUCCUAGGCUGCCUGAAAAAUGCUAAGUCAGUGUGCAACGCCUGAGAGCUAGGCGCUACACUAUAUAGUGCAGCGCCUAGCGUAUAGGCGCUGCACUGAUGGCCGGUAUACUUCAGCCUUUCGCCCAACAUCACUGUAAACAAGGCAAGCUUCUGUCGGAAGCAGCACAACACAGAGCAGUGUAUAAAUACGCUGAUGCAUGCAUGGAUAGGUUUGCAUGCAUCCCAGAACCAGAACUAGCGUGUCCGCCGAUGACGCCGUCGACGUGUUUCCGUCGCAUUGGGACAGGCAUGCGGAGCCUCGCUAGGCUCACGUGGGCAGGGCACGUACGCACUUGCUGCUCUAUCCAUCUCGUGUCCACAACAAAGGACUGAAACGAGCUAGGGGAUAGGGCGACAGCGACAUGUCUGAAGGUAGGUUAGCUAGAUUCAUAGAUGCUACGUAACCUUGGAUGGUGCAUGUCAUGAGUAGUGCAACGCCUAUACGAGGCGCUAAACUAUACAGUGUAGCGCCUAGCUCUCAGGCGUUGCACAUUGACUUAGCUUUUUUCGGGCAAUCUGGGUUACGACACUGGAUAGACGUGUAGCGCCUGGAAGCUAGGCGCUCCACAGUGUAGUGUGACGCCUAUAUGUCGGGCGCUACACAAAAAGAUCAGUUGGGUGAAAUUUUUUCAAACACAGUUUAGUUUGUGAAAUAGUUUUUCUAUAGGUCAGAUUUGUCAUUUCUGCCGGCUUACGGAGUAUCUCCACCUGUGGACCGAGACCGAUCAGAUCUUGCUGAACUUUGAUGCAAACGACUCCGUCACAUGGUCCUGUGAGAAGGACUGACGCUUUUCGACUAGGUCAGUGUACACAGCGAGAUUCUGGGGCAGGGAAGUGAUAUCUAAUAGCGAGCUUCACCUGGCGAUUGAAGGCCCCGCUUCGCUGCCGCUUCUUCGCUUGGAUGGCCCUCUAGAACAAGUGUUGGACGGCAGACCGGCUAGCCCAGAGCGAUGCCCUUUUUGCGACCAGGAGGAAGAAACCAUCAAUCACCUGCUGCUAGACUGUGUGUUUGCCAGAGAAGUUUGGACCAUCAUCUCUGAUGCCGCAGGCAAGCCGAACUGGGCCCCGACGAGGGGGGAAAGCAUCGCAUAAUGGUCUGUAGAGAAGGGUGGAUCAGGUCGGGCUUGCAAGGAUAUUAGGACGGUCUGAACCCUCGUGCUCUGGGAACUAUGAAGACAUCGCAAUGCCAUUGUGUUCGACACCGCCCCCCUUCCAUGAACCAUGUGAUCAGCAACAUCCAGGCUGAGGUAAUGGCAUGUAAGCAAGUGGGAAUGAUAAAAGAAGACGCCAGUACUUUCCUAGCGAAAUUAGGAGAGUGGGCUAGGAGGCCGUAUUAGGCGAACACCGUAGCAUAUGUGGGGUGGAGUUCGUGUUCAUAUUGUAGUAUGUAACAUCAUCGUGGAGGGGCUUUUUUUUCCGUUCCCUUCUUUAAUAUAGAGUGCGCACACUCGUGUGUAUUUAAAAAAAAAAGGAAUGUCGGGCCAUCAUUUGGAUGGCCCGUUAUGCUUCUUUGUCGUUUUGUGUGUGUGCGUGUGUGAUGUGUGUGCCCUUUGAUCUUGCUCUUCCCCUCGAUUGGUUGAUCGUUUUGCUCGGCUGCUUUUGCUUGUUUUCUGUGUGGCCUAUGUCGGGGUGUGCCACUUGAGUGUUGUGUUGCUUUGAAUGGCCAAAUAAAAGCAUCUACAACCGGACCCUCCACUUCUCCCUCAAACGUCCAAAACGCCCUCCCGGCCAGUGUCCGAUCAGAAAAAACUAACCCAACCGAACCCCCCACUUCGUCCCUAAACGCCCGGACUGACCGGCCUACCUCAAACUCGUCUCAAAUCUAAGGGCAAUAUGAGGCUGUCUGGUCACGUUCACGCACAUCGACUCGACCCCAUGUGCAGCCACUCAAUCCUCGUCUCUCUCUCUCUUCUCUUCGCUGAUGCAUGCCGCCCCAUCCGCGCCGCCUGUGACCUAGCCGCCGCGUCCGCGCAGCCCGCGUGCCCGCGCAGCCCGGAGCUCUCGCGCACCUUGGCCGUGUUCGCACCGCCCGCCUGCUGGCCGCCGCGUGCCCGCGCCGUAUGCUGGUCACCGAACACUCCCACAAGGAAAUAUUAUCCGCGACCACUUCCCUGAGGUCAUGGGGUUUGGAUCCACGCCUACCGCCGAUUUUAAUUGGGAUGAGCUCAACAUCCAAUCCCUUGAUCUCCAUGAGCUUGGUAAUGAUAUAAUUGAGGACGAGGUGUGGGAGGCCAUUAAGGAGAUGCCCGACGACAAGGCACCCGGCCCCGACGGAUUCAUCGGGCUCUUCUUCAAGAGAUGUUGGGGCUACAUCAAACAUGACAUCAUGAGUCAAUAGAUGUUUCGGCGCCCUUCGCACUAACAACCUCCAGUGGCUCAAUUCUGCCAAUGUGGUACUGUUACCCAAAAAAGAAGGGGCCAAGGGCAUUUCCGACUACAAACCCAUUAGCCUUAUUCAUGUCGUAGCAAAAAUCAUUGCCAAGGUGCUAUCCCUAAGGCUCGCACCCCACAUGGGUGCCCUUGUCUCCCACGUGCAGAGCGCAUUCAUUAAGAAAAGGAGCAUUCACGACAACUUCAUGUACGUUCACAACUUCGCCCGCCGGCUCCAUAAGUGCAAGACUCCCACCCUCCUUUUCGAACUCGAUAUCAAAAAAGCCUUUGACUCGGUCAAAUGGGAAUACAUUUCGGACUUGCUUCAACCAAAAGGUCUGCUAGAUAAAUUUAGAGAUUGGGUUGCAGCUUUGCUUUCCUCGUCAUCAUCACGGUUCCUCCUCAACGGCAUCCCUGGACAACCCAUUAAGCAUGGCAGCGGUUUCAGGCAAGGGGACCCUCUUUCGCCUCUGCUAUUCGUGACGGAGAUAGACCCACUUCACCACAUCCUUGAUCUAGCAACUCAUAAGGGCCUUAUUCACAAGCUUCGUGGACGAGGGGCCAUGGUGAGAACCUCCCUGUAUGCUGACGACGCGGCGGUUUUCAUGGCUCCGAUCAAGACAGACAUCGACAACCUGUCGAUCAUCCUAAGAGGCUUUGGGGAUGUCACGGGCAUGUGCACCAAUCUCUAGAAAAGAUAUGUUGUGCCCAUUAGGUGUGCUAGUCUCGACCUGGAGCACAUCCUAAGUAAUAUGCCGGCGACCCGGGCCUCUUUUCCCAUAAAAUAUUUGGGCAUCCCACUAUCGGUUUGGCAGCUUCGGAAAAUUGAUUUCCAUUAUCUAGAGGACAAAGUAGCUGCCAAGUUGGUCACUUGGGAGGGGCAGAACAUCACCACCAUUGGCCGAGCGGCGCUUGUCAAAUCUGUGGUUGCUUCUCAAGCGAUAUACUCCAUCACGUCGUUGAUUGUUCCGCAAGGAACUCUUCACAACCUGAAAAAGAUUAGGGGAGCCUUCCUUUGGUCUGGAUCUGACAAGACAACCGGCGCACAUGCAAAGUCAAUUGGGAAAUUGUUUGCCGUCCUUCUGCAUACAGAGGCCUCGGGGUGCUAAACAUUGACAAGUUUGGUCGCGCAUUAAGGCUGAGAUGGUUGUGGUAUGAAUGGAAGGAGCCGAGCAACUAUGGUUGGGUUUGGGUAACCCAUGUACUGUUCAAGACCAUGAUCUCUUCUAUGCAUCCACCAUGAUAGUCAGGGGCAAUGGUGCAAAAAACACCUUUUUGGGACUCCCCUUGGCUUCUCGGCCACAAGCCCAAGGACAUUGCUCCUCUGAUCUUUGAAGCCUCAAGGAGGAAAACUUGGAAGGUGUGUGACGCCCUCAAGGCGAACGCUUGGAUGCUCCAGAUCAAGAGGGACACCGUCAUCUCCGGAGACCACGUCCGGGAAUUCUUCACCCUUUGGAUGCUCACUCAUGAUUUUCACAUUGAUGACUACGCCGAGGAUGACAUUGUGUGGAAGCACUCCAUGGAUGGGGUUUACUCGACGUCCACUGCUUACAAGGUGCAAUUCCUGGGUUUAACGCUAUCUCCUAUGGACUUCAUGGUGUGGAAAGUCUGGGCCCCUCCGAAAGUUAAGUUUUUUGCAUGGCUUGCAUUGCAAGGGCGGAUUUGGACUGCCGACCGUUUGGAGCGUCGUGGCUGGGCAAAUUGUGGCAUUUGCCCCCUAUGUAAGAGAGAACAAGAGACGACCAUUCACCUCUUUGUUAGGUGCCGUUACUCUACACGGCUAUGGAACAUGGUCAUCCAAAAUUUGGGCUUGCACACAUGGACACCACCACUUGGCAUCUCCACGCAUCCCUCUUCGAAUGGUGGGACAAGAGGACCGACACGACGAACCCCAACAGGCGAGUUAUGGCCUCUCUCACUAUGCUUGUCUUGUGGACAAUUUGGAAUGAGAGAAACGCUCGGGUGUUCCGGCUCGGGUGUUCCGGCACAAGAGCGCGCCGCCUCCAAGCUUUCUCCAACUUGUAACUGAUGAGGCAAAGCUUUGAGUAACCGCCGGCGCUAAGAAACUAGGGAAAAUUGUAAUAAGUGAGUAAUUGUCAGGCCGUGUUGGGUCAGGUCUUGUAACACUCCAAAAACUCUAUCCUUCUCAUUUAAUAGAUUAGGCAAAUCUUUUGCCUCCAUUUCAAAGAAAAAAAUGGAUGGAUCUUCGCCUGCUACGAUAUGCUGGAUAUGUGCCAGUGAAGAUGUUGAUGACCUAGUGUGAGGCCGUCAUGGUCUACCAAGGCAUGCCCGACUUAGCGAGGCCAAAGGUCCUAACGAGAACUGCCCAGGCCAAAGGUCCGGGUAGCUGUGGCAUCGCCGUGCGAUAGUUUUUUUUUUUCCAUGAAUAACGAGAAGAGUCGUUGUCCGUCUUAUCCUGCGCCAGGCCGGCGAGGAUGAUCCAAUAGGUGACCGCCUCAGCGACCGUAGACCGUAUGCAAACAAGAGGUUGGCCAAAUGGCUACUUGUGCCUACGUAACCUGGAAUCCGCCGAACACCUUUCCUAUAAUUGCAACAUCUCCUACUCUGUUUGGCUCACAUAGCAGCGCAAUGGUAUGGAUGCAAUUCUUUACAUCCGGAUACAUGGAAGAAGAGCACAGAAAUCAUCACGUCCAUGAUCGACGGAGCUAGGCCGGAGUUCCUUCUGUCCUAUGGGAGAUUUGGCAGGAGAGAAACGGAAGCACUUUCAGAGGAAAAAUUGAAUCCUCGACUCCAAUUGUCAGGAGAACGCUGGAGUUAUGGAGGCCAGGUAGGAGCAGCAAAAUUAGAGCACCCUUUUGGGGAUCCACCGAGAGAAUAAUCAGUACUGAUGCCUGUACUCUUUUUUUAUCCUUGAUCCUUGGGUCACCUGACAUUCCACUUUUGCAUUCCUGCUAAUAUCAAUAUAAGCCAGCCAUCAGCUGGAUCUUUUAAAAACAAAAUCUGGUGACCGAGUAGCUCGGGAUAACAGAAGCAUGUGCCAGGGCAGCAAAAAUCCACAUUGCUCAAGGGUUCAAAUUACAGAGACAAGCACGCCCGCUUACACAACUGUUAAAAUUUGUUCUUUUCAUAACACCGCAUACAUCACGUUUUUCCACAGCAAUAUCGCUAGUACAUGAUGCCAUGAUCUUACAUGUUAAACAUACCAAGUCCAGUACAUGAGUACCCUACUCACACAUUGCUUUGCUUGUACAGCUUCGUGUCCAGCACUUGCUUACCACACAUCGCACACACCCCUGAAA
rnacentral:lncRNA from 1 species